GAUUCAGCAGUAUGUUAGGUGUAUCCUCCUUGUGAGCAUUUUGAGUUUGUGCUACCUUUUAGCGAGUAAAGUAUUUGGAGUUUGUACUGUACUUUUUAAAAGUUUAUAUUUAUUUUUCUAGACAACAGCCAGUGACUGAGGCUGGCAGCUACAGAAGGCUGGCAGAUUGAUUUUCCAAAAGUAUUUUGAGUCAGAGAGCUAGGGGAACAUGUCUUCCAACAAGAUAGAGUGUGUUUACUUCUUGUGAAACCAUUUAAAUGUGUGUCUGUGACAUGCUGAAGGCGCAAAUAGUCCUGAAGUGACCAAACUAACUCGAUGUACCAGCCAACCACCUCUGACUGCAGAACUUGAGGAAAGCUUAAGGAGACAUCCAACAAGUAUCCAGAUCAGAUGCUUGAACCACCUCAAGUGGCUCCUCUCAAUCCGAAGGAGCACCCUCCAGCUUGACGACCCUGAGACUCCUUACGAACCCAAAGGGGGCAUUCCUGCCGAGUAUGGACUGUGUAUGUCGUAC